rnacentral:rRNA from 1 species
UUCUGCAGAGGUGGCGUCAACACGAGGCGUUACCCCGCUUGUUCUUCCCUCUGAACAGUGCUUUACAACCGAAGGCCUUCAUCACACACGCGGCGUUGCUGCGUCAGGCUUUCGCCCAUUGCGCAAAAUUCCC